UACAGAGGGGGGGCAACGUUAUUCGGAAUUAUUGGGCGUAAAGGGCGCGUAGGCGGCCUUGCAAGUGACGGGUGAAAUCCCCUCGGCUUAACCGAGGAACUGCCUGUCAAACUGCGUGGCUUGAGACCAGGAGAGGUGAGUGGAAUUCCCAGUGUAGCGGUGAAAUGCGUAGAUAUUGGGGAGGAACACCAGUGGCGAAGGCGGCUCACUGGACCUCUUCUGACGCUGAGGCGCGAAAGCCAGGGGAGCAAACGGG
rnacentral:rRNA from 1 species